GACGAACGCUGGCGGCGUGCCUAAUACAUGCAAGUCGAGCGGACUUGAUGAAGUGCUUGCACUUCUGAUGGUUAGCGGCGGACGGGUGAGUAACACGUAGGUAACCUGCCUAUAAGACUGGGAUAACAUUCGGAAACGAAUGCUAAUACCGGAUACGCGAAUUGGUCGCAUGGCCGAAUCGGGAAAGACGGAGCAAUCUGUCACUUAUAGAUGGACCUGCGGCGCAUUAGCUAGUUGGUGAGGUAACGGCGCACCAAGGCGACGAUGCGUAGCCGACCUGGGAGGGUGAUCGACCACACUGGGACUGAGACACGGCCCAGACUCCCACGGGAGGCAGCAGUAGGGAAUCUUCCGCAAUGGACGAAAGUCUGACGGAGCAACGCCGCGUGAGUGAUGAAGGUUUUCGGAUCGUAAAGCUCUGCUGCCAGGGAAGAACGCUUGGGAGAGUAACUGCUCUCAAGGUGACGGUACCUGAGAAGAAAGCCCCGGCUAACUACGUGCCAGCAGCCGCCGUAA
rnacentral:rRNA from 1 species